GGGAGAAAAUCAAUCAAUACUUGUAUUCCACUCAACCAUUAAAUUCUGCCGCUACUAAUAUAUUUUCAUUUUAAAAUAUGCUCAAAAUAUUUAUUGACCAUCCAAAAAAGAAAAUAAAUAAAUACAAUUGGCAUAUAAUAUUAGCAUGGAUUCAAUGUUACAACGAAAACUCCAUGUCGUUCAGCUCAAAACGGCCACAAGUCACCCCAGAGAGAUCUUCGGGCCUGAUGAUGUAAUGUAGGAUUCCGACUCUUGGUGACAACUAUAUGUUCGAAUGAUCCCUCUGAGCCAUCCUCGUUGAUUGAUCGACACACAUCCAAUGCAACUUGUCUGCCUCUCCUAACAGGUGAGAAGAUUAUCCUUCCCCAACCACCCCCAAGAUCCGCAUGAGCUGUUUCUUCUUGCCCUAUUUCCUUGUCUUCACCAAUAUUGUCAACUUCAUUGUCUUCACCAAUCGUGUCAAUUUCAACAACAUCAGAAUCAUAGUCAAUUGGAUCCACUUCUUCAUAUGGGACAUCAGGUUGAUCUUGCAGAAUUAUGUCCUCAUAGUCAAUUUCAAGAUUAUCGAGAUUUCUUUUGGCACGCUGCUCCUUCAGAGUCUCAAAUUUCACACCGUCAAGAGGCCAGGAUACCCUGUUCAAACAAAGCACGUAUGCAUCAUAUUGGGAAAUACACUUGAAAAAAAAAAAUCAAAUGUUACAAACUGUAAUUGAAUCCUAUAAGGACCUUGAAGUUCUUAAUCUCAAUAAGAAUUUUUCCAAACAAAUGCAAUUCACAAAUAUAAACAAAUUAUUUAAGAAUACCAACCGAGGCCGUUGUCCUCGUCUGAAAGCAACAAAGGAAAAUUUCUCAUCUUCAAAUCCACGUAAAGGCUCACCCUUGGACCGCUUGUAUGCACGUUGUGUUGACGUUCUCUGCAAACGCUGAACAAAAUGGCAAUAUUUCCCAGAUUUCUCCAAAGGACAGUGCCCAUCAUGAGCACACUGCAUAAACGAGGCAGUUAGGAAAAAUGUGAUGAGAAAAUGAAAUGCAAAUGUUCAGAAUUUAUUUGAUAAUUUAACCUCAAAGGACCAGAAAAGGAAGAAAAAUUAUCGUACUUACAGGAGCAACUACAAAAGCACCACUUUUGACAGACACCAGAUCCUUACAAGCUUCACUGUUUUGCAUUUUAGAUUUACGCAAUUUCUGAAAGUUCAUCAGUAUAUUCCACACAUGGCGAGAAAAAGCAAUCAUAAAUUAGGAACAUAAAACCUUUUGUAUUAUCAGGCACCACAUAAAACUUUUUCCAAAUAAGAACCAGAAGGAAACAGCGAAUGUACCCUUUUCUCCAUCCAUAAUAUGUGAGAUCGCAUCUGAGAUAUGAUAUUAGAUCCAUGUGGUGUUCCUGGUUCAAUUAAAACCAAAACAUCCUUUGUAAGAUCCCAAAGCUGGCGCACCAUAGUGAUCCGAUCCUUGAGCGAUGGUAUCUCCCCAAGCACAUAGGAAGCAAUUACAAGGUCAUGUUCCCUCUCAGACUUGUUGAUAUUUUUAGUUAAUGCUUGAAUGCUAUUAUAGCUGUGAAUAAGUGGCAAAUCCUUCAGACCUUGUAUAAGGCUCCGACCAGCCCGUUGCAUCGAUUGGGAUGGCUCCACCAAGUUUACCUUCUCUACUGACUUUGGCCAGACCUCACGCAUUGCCCAGAAAGCUGAACCAGUUCCAGCACCAAAGUCCAAUACCUUAGCUGGGGAAAAACCUGGUAACCUUCUUUGAACCUCGCUGAAGACUCUGUGGCAGGAAGAGAAGACAGCAGGCAUGCGCGAGGCAACAUAUGCAACUGUCUCAUCGUCUGUGUAUUUGAGUCCAAUAUCACCGUAAGCGCUCUUGAUUUUCCAACGCCUAGAGCGCUCCAUAGACUUGAAUGGAUCCUCAACUAGCUCCUUUGAAGUGAUCGUUGUCAGCAUCAUAUUCACGUCCUUGAUUUCGCUAAACGACUCCGAUAAUCUCAAUACCUUCCUUUUUAUGUGCGGCUCCUCUUGCUCUCGUAUGUAUCUUUUAAUGGCGCGGCGGAGGCGAACGGGGACGAUGACGCACCCCUGCGAUUGUUUGGCUGCAGACAGGAGGGUUUCUGGAGUGAAUAAUUUUUGGGUGGUUUCAGGGAUUAGGCUCGCCAUUAUCUCUUUUUUUUCCCCUCUAAAAUGGGAAAUAAUUUCUCGCUCCUGCUGUUUUGAAGUUGAACAAUAGAUUUCAGAAGUGGCAAUGGGUACGUACCGGCGAGAUUGAGGGCGUCGGUGAGAUUGAACAGCGGCGAGAUUGAGAGCGUCAGCGAGAUUGAGGGAGUUUUGUUAUCGGAUGGCGAUGAAGCAAGCAGCUGAGAAUUUUCGGACUUUGUCUCUUGAGUAACUCAGAUAAGUAAUUCAGAGGUAAGGUACCGAGGUUUAUGGAGGCUCGCCAUUUCUAGCAAGGAAAGUGAAACUGGU
rnacentral:misc_RNA from 1 species